rnacentral:tmRNA from 1 species
GGGGGCGACUUGGUUUCGACGUGGGUCACAAAGCAGCACAGGGCAUGCCAAGGUCCAGUUACCUUGUAAAUCCGCUGGAAACUUCAUACACGCCAACGACGAGCGUUAUUCUCUAGCCGCCUAACACCGGCUAGACGCUGCACUGACCUGCUGAUGGGUCAGGCCCCGAGAGGGGUGCAGCGUCAUUUACAUCAGCCUCUCUGCAUGGUUUGGUCGCUUAGCCGUGUGGAUCCGUCGAAGCGACUAGCCAAACACCAGCCUGCCGGUUGGCGGGUGCGAGGCGAAACCCAAAUAACCAGGCUAAGCAUGUAGUCCUGACUGUGGAGGGCUUGCGGACGCGGGUUCAAUUCCCGCCGCCUCCACCA